UACGUAGGUGGCAAGCGUUAUCCGGAUUUAUUGGGCGUAAAGCGCGCGCAGGCGGCUAUGUAAGUCUGGUGUUAAAGCCCGGGGCUCAACUCCGGUUCGCAUCGGAAACUGUGUAGCUUGAGUGCAGAAGAGGAAAGCGGUAUUCCACGUGUAGCGGUGAAAUGCGUAGAGAUGUGGAGGAACACCAGUGGCGAAGGCGGCAUCCUGGACCUUAACUGACGCUGAGGCGCGAAAGCAUGGGUAGCGAACGGG
rnacentral:rRNA from 1 species